CCCGCUCAGCGUCUACUGCGAGCCCGGCCGCCAGGUGGUCUGCGGCCUCUGCGCCUCCCUCGGCAAGCACCGGGGCCACAGCGUCCUCACCGCCGCCGAGGCCCACCAGCGCAUGAAGAAACUCAUGCCCCAGCAGCAGGCGCAGCUCCAGGAGGCCCAAGCCCGCAAGGAGAAGACCAUCGCUCUGCUGGACCAGCAGAUCGCCGAGGUGGAGGACACGGUGGCGUGCUUCAAGCGCCAGGUGGCGGAGCAGCUGGGGGUGAUGCGGGGCUUCCUGGCGGCGCUGGAGACCUCCCUGGGG